ACAAUAUCAUCCGCAAACAUCAUAAAGUCCGUAAUAAGAUUAGGCCUCUUGAAGUCCAAAUCACAAAAAUUUGCCCCUUAAAACCAAACCAAGUUGGCUAAAAUAGCGCAAAGUGAAGAAGUUAAUUGUAUAAAAGGGAAGAAAUAAAGAAUGUAGCUCUCUAGCAUGAAAAAGAAUAGGUCAAUUUUCCUCUUCACCGUUUGCAAUGCAACAUCAUAAAACAGGUGAGUUGCUUUUUCUUUUCUCUUUUAAACUGUUGUGCACAUGAUGCCUGAGACAUCACUGUGCAUCUCG
rnacentral:misc_RNA from 1 species